UAUACUGUGAAACUGCGAAUGGCUCAUUAAAUCAGUUAUAGUUUAUUUGAUGGUACCUUACUACUCGGAUAACCGUAGUAAUUCUAGAGCUAAUACGUGCGCAAAUCCCGACUUCCGGAAGGGACGUAUUUAUUAGAUAAAAGGCCGACCGGGCUUGCCCGACUCGCGGUGAAUCAUGAUAACUUCACGAAUCGCAUGGC
rnacentral:rRNA from 1 species